rnacentral:tRNA from 2 species
GCCGGGGUGGCCGAGUGGUCAAAGGCGUCAAUCGAGCUGCCGACCCGCUGUCCCCCUGGGACGCCCGGGUUCGAAUCCCGGCCCCGGCG